GAUUGAACCCAUAUAAGAGCACGGUGAUGCUGGUCAGAAAGGAUGCAGGCCAUUUGCUAAACAGUCAGGUGAAGAAAGCAUCAAUGCUCGUGAAUGACAAAGGGCACAAAGAUGUCAUGGACAGGCCCUGGCGAUCGUCCCAUGGUAUUGUCUGCAGCAUCAUGUGGUGAAGGGGCUGGUUGGAGAGGCUGAAUAGUGAGGCAAUCGUUGAGGAUGU